UUUUUUGAGGAUUUGAUCCUGGUCCAGGACGAACGCUAGCGGCGCGCCUUAGGCAUGCAAGUCGAACGAACCCCGCAAGGGGUGAGUGGCAGACGGCUGAGUAACACGUCGGAACGUACCCUUUUGUGGAGGAUAGCCCCGCGAAAGCGGGGGUAAUACUCCAUAACCCCUACGGGGAAAAGCGAAUAACUUCGCGCUGAAGGAACGGCCGGCGGCCUAUCAGCUUGUUGGUAGGGUAACGGCCUACCAAGGCUAUGACGGGUAGGGGGUGUGAGAGCACGGCCCCCCAGAAUGGGACUGAGAUACGGCCCAUACACCUACGGGUGGCAGCAACCGGGAAUCGUGCGCAAUGGACGCAAGUCUGACGCCGCGACGCCGCGUGGGGGAUGAAGGCCUUCGGGUUGUAAACUCCUGUGUUGGGUACACAUGUGCCCAAAAGAAAGCACCUGCUAACUCCGUGCCAGAAGCCUCGGUAAUGCGGAGGGUGCAAGCGUUGUCCGGAUUUACUGGGCGUAAAGAGUCUGUAGGCGGUUUGAUGCGUCUUGUGUUAAAGGCUCGGGCUCAACUCGAGUAUGUCGCAAGAUACGAUUAGACUUUGAGAUCUUUUGAGGGUGCUGGAACUCACGGUGGAGGGGUGAAAUCCGUUGAUAUCGUGAGGAACACCAACGGCGAAGGCGGGCACCUAGGAAGUAUCUGACGCUGAGAGACGAAAGCUAGGGGAGCGAAAGGGAUUAGAGACCCCUGUAGUCCUAGCCGUAAACUAUGCUCGCUAGGGGGGCGCCGUAAGGUACCCCCCGUAAGCUAACGCGUUAAGCGAGCCGCCUGGGGAGUACGGCCGCAAGGCUAAAACUCAAAGGAAUUGACGGGGAAGCGCACAACCAGUGGAGCAUGUGGUUUAAUUCGAUACAAACCGAAGAACCUUACCCAGAUUUGACAUGCCGCCGUUUUAGUUCCCUAGAAAUAGGGAGCGAUUCGCAAGAAAGGCGGCACAGGUGUUGCAUGGCUGUCGUCAGCUCGUGCCGUGGGGUGUCCCGUUAAGUCGGGUAACGAGCGCAACCCCUGCCAUAUGUUGAAUAUUCAUAUGGGACUGCCCGCCUUUUUGGCGGGAGGAAGGAGGGGACGACGUCAAGUCAGCAUGGCCCUUAUAUCUGGGGCGACACACAUGCUACAAUGGCGCCGACAAUGGGUUGCCAAGCCGCAAGGCGGAGCUAAUCCCAUCAAACGGCGUCUCAGUUGGGAUUGCGGGCUGCAACUCGCCCGCAUGAACGCGGAAUUGGUAGUAAUCGCAGGUCAGCUAUACUGCGGUGAAUACGUUCUCGCUUUUUGUACACACCGCCCGUCAAGUGAGUGAAGUUGGGAGUAUCUGAAGUGUCCGCCUCGGCGGACCCAAGGGUAAGCCCAGCAACAAGCACUAAGUCGUAACAAGGUAUCCCUACUGGAAGGUGGGGAUGGAUCACCUCCUUU
rnacentral:rRNA from 1 species